UGCAAUACCUAAAUUGUUAAUGAUUUGAUUUAUUUAAUUCAAUUUUUUUUUUUUGUUAUUGGUGAAUUUGAGAUACAGAUAAAUUACCGAUAUUCCCUGUUAAAAUAGAAUAUCAAAAACGUAGUAGAUAGAUUUAUCAUACAUAAAUAGAUGUUAACAUGUCUUAAAUAUCUCACCGGGAAUGGAUCAUAUCUGACAAGAGAAUUUAGUUCCUAUAUUUUUUAAUAUCCUUGUUCUCUUAUUGAACAUGUUGAGAUACAAUUAAACCUUUUGUUUCGCUAGCUUUUAAUCCAAAACGUCUAUCAAUGCCUCUAUUUGCACCAAUGUCGGAUGAGAAGAACGCUCGUUAAAUCUGUUGGUAAUAUAUUGAAAUUUUAGAUUAAAAAACAAAUGGAUGAACCAUCGAUAGCCUGAAAACUAACUUUUACUUACCUCAUAAUUUUUAUUUAACGUUAAAUUCACUCACAAAGUAACAAAAAAUCUAGAAAAAGUAAAAUAAAAACUUCCGACCGCUCGAGAUUGUUUUGAAAACAAUUAAAAUUUUGUUUUUUAAUUCUGGUAUUCGCUAGUGCACGCAAAGGAACUUAGCGUGCAGCCAGAAAUUACAAUUAAUAUCAUAAAUAUAUGACUUUUAAUUUUCUUUUUAGUUAAAUUAGAUGUGGCUUUAACACCAAAGCUUAAAUUCAUAGUAUUUUCUUACAGAAUGCUUAUAAAUACAACGAAAAACUGAAACCGGUAAGCUUCGAUUUACAUUUGCGUGUUAACGGCUAUCCCUAGUAGUAGUAUAAACAAACUUCGUUGUCACUUCACUUCGCUCGAGCCAGGGUAAUUAAGAUUAGUGUUUACAGAAUGCCAAUUCAAGGUCAUUCUAUUGCGAAUGCGAAGUGAUGGAGAAUUUCGUAGUGAGAUGCGAGUUCUUGUUUGACUUUUAGAGAAUCGCAAGGCUGCCGUGCGAUUCUGUAAGCGUUGUUUAACAAACUCGCACGUGAAUUUGGUGUGAGUUUUCAAAUUGGCAUUCUGUAAAUUUCAUUGUAGUGCCGAAUCUACACUAGCGCCCCUCGCGGGUGAAUUGAACUAGCAAGCGUGAGUUUUUUUUACUAAAAUGUAUGAGUUGACGUUUGAAACGGCAUUCUGUAGUGUAAAUCACGUCGAAUUUCGGCAAGAACUUCGCAUCGCAAAAUCAUUUUAUUUGUCAAAUCAAAAGUUAGUGUUUUAAGUGUUUGUUGUGAGUGAGAAUAUACGAAAACGUUAUAAACCGCUGUUAAUUAUUAAAAAAAUACUAUUAAUUAACAAAAUUGCACUUUAAAAUAACUUUAUUCUUCAUCGAUAUUUUAUGGAGCGUAUGUUUUUAUUGAAAACAUUGUUGAAAGAGGCUGACGCUACGGAUCAGCGUGAAAUGCGUCGACCAGCCUAUGAAAUUCACAAUUUAUUACUUUUAACUUGAGAUGACGACCAUGUAAAAGUAUAAAGAAAGUGUAUAGAUUGUCGAAGGAUCAUAUGAACCAGUUAGGGUGUGAAUUACACCCUUUGAUGAAGACCACUAAAAGCCAUUGAAAAGGACUUUCAACUCUUAUAAAGUUUCAGUUAUUGUGCACCUUGUUAUUUUUGGCCAAUUGAAGUUACCAAAAAAAUCAUAAAAGAAAAUAUAAGAACAUAUUUGUCCCAGACAUCCCAGUGUAUAUCUGAGGUUGUGGAGGCUCUGAACAACCCAGCAACUAUAUAUAAAUAUUUAAGAUUCCCACAGAAUGCUCAAGAAUGGCAAAAGUUGAAGGAAAAGCAAAGAAAAAAGAAGGUGGUUUAAGCUAAAUAAAAGAAUGUUUACUUCAUAAAAAAUUACCAAUAUUAAUGAAAUGCUAAAUAUUGCAGUUUUUAUGAAAAAUUUAGAAUCCUUUGGGUUAUUGGGUGUAUUGAUGGGAAGUUGAUGGCCUUAAAAAGAUCUGCUACCAAUAAAAAAUGGUUUUACUGUCGCAAAGAAUAUCAUGCAAGAAAUGUACAAUUUGUAAAGCUAUUAAUAUUUUUCGAAAUUCUGAUAUGUAAUCCAUAAACGAAAUGUGUAUUAAGAACCUAUCUAUUCAGAUUGUAUUCAUUUCAGUUAAAUUGUAAUUGUGUAUAUUGCUAUAAGUUAUUGUGAAAUUUAGUAUUUAUCUUAAAUAAACUUUAUUCAGUUAUAAUCAAAACAAAAUAAAAUUUAGUCAAUGACAGCAAGUAAUGACCAUUAUAAUUAUUUAACAUCUUUUCGGGCCUUCUGUAUAUUGUCAACGUUCCAACCUUAUGACACCUUUUGCUAAUUUUUUUUUCAUUGCUUAGAUCGGUGGACGAGCUCCCAGCCCACCUGGUGUUAAAUGGUUACUGGAGCCCAUAGACAUCUACAACGUAAAUGUGUAUGGACUCCAAUAUCUACAAGGUCCUACCACCAGUAAUUAUACAAAUUAUACCACCCACCCACCUUGAGAUAUAAAUUCUAAGGUCUCAGUAUAGUUACAACAGCUGCCCCACCCUUCAAACUGAAACGCAUUACUGCUUCACGGCAGAAAUAGGCGAUAACGCUAUGCUAUGCUAGCUAAUACCUGCUAAUAAUAGCUAGCUAUUGCUAAUAUGGAGGAAGAUACUCCUGAAGCUUUGUAGCACCGCCUUCAUUCCACUGCCCGUAACUCAGUGGAAAGAACAAUAGGUAUAUUAAAGAGUAGAUUCAGGUGUUUGCUGAUCUACAGGGUGCCAAUUUACCACCCUGAUAAGGUAGCAAAAAUUGUUGUUGCGUGUUGUGUUUUGCACAACAUUUUCAAUUGUGCAGAGCUGCCAGUUCCCAUGAUUUCAGAUGAUGAGAUUACAUGUACAUUAUGGUGGUCAUGUUGAAUUACUUUGUUAAAUUCUACUAAUUAGCUAACUUAUAGUGUGAAGUAACUUCAAAUAUAAAUUAAUGAUUUAUAAAAA